UAGUAGCGGCGAGCGAAGCGGGAAAAGCUCAAAUUUGUAAUCUGGCGCCUUCGGCGUCCGAGUUGUAAUCUCGAGAAAUGUUUUCCGUGUUAGACCGCAUACAAGUCUCUUGGAACAGAGCGUCAUAGUGGUGAGAACCCAGUACACGAUGCGGAUGCCUAAUACUUUGUGAUACAUUUUCGAAGAGUCGAGUUGUUUGGGAAUGCAGCUCAAAUUGGGUGGUAAAUUCCAUCUAAAGCUAAAUAUUGGCGAGAGACCGAUAGCGAACAAGUACCGUGAGGGAAAGAUGAAAAGCACUUUGGAAAGAGAGUUAACAGUACGUGAAAUUGUUGGAAGGGAAACACAUGCAGUCAGACUUGCUAUUCGGGGCAACUCGAUUGGCAGGCCCGCAUCAGUUUUUCGGGGCGGAAAAGCAUAGAGAGAAGGUAGCAGUUUCGGCUGUGUUAUAGCUCUUUAUUGGAUUCGCCCUGGGGGACUGAGGAACGCAGCGUGCUUUUAGCAUGAGCUUCGGCUUAUCCACGCUUAGGAUGCGGGUGUAAUGGCUGUAUAUGACCCGUCUUGA
rnacentral:rRNA from 1 species